rnacentral:rRNA from 1 species
UACGUAGGUGGCAAGCGUUGUCCGGAUUUACUGGGCGUAAAGAGCGCGCAGGCGGUCAGAUAAGUCGAAUGUGAAAGCCCCCGGCUCAACUGGGGAGGGUCAUUCGAUACUGUUCGACUCGAAGGCAGGAGAGGAUCGCGGAAUUCCCGGUGUAGAGGUGAAAUUCGUAGAUAUCGGGAGGAACACCAGUGGCGAAGGCGGCGAUCUGGGUUGAUACUGACGCUGAGGUGCGAAAGCGUGGGGAGCAAACAGG